UGGGGAAUUUUGGACAAUGGGGGCAACCCUGAUCCAGCAAUGCCGCGUGUGUGAAGAAGGCCUUCGGGUUGUAAAGCACUUUUGUCCGGAAAGAAAACGUCGUGGUUAAUACCCGUGGCGGCUGACGGUACCGGAAGAAUAAGCACCGGCUAACUACGUGCCAGCAGCCGCGGUAAUACGUAGGGUGCAAGCGUUAAUCGGAAUUACUGGGCGUAAAGCGUGCGCAGGCGGUCCGCUAAGACAGAUGUGAAAUCCCCGGGCUUAACCUGGGAACUGCAUUCGUGACUGGCGGGCUAGAGUAUGGCAGAGGGGGGUAGAAUUCCACGUGUAGCAGUGAAAUGCGUAGAGAUGUGGAGGAAUACCGAUGGCGAAGGCAGCCCCCUGGGCCAAUACUGACGCUCAUGCACGAAAGCGUGGGGAGCAAACAGGAUUAGAUACCCUGGUAGUCCACGCCCUAAACGAUGUCAACUAGUUGUCGGGUCUUCAUUGACUUGGUAACGUAGCUAACGCGUGAAGUUGACCGCCUGGGGAGUACGGUCGCAAGAUUAAAACUUAAAUGAAUUGACGGGGUCAUAGCUGUUUCCU
rnacentral:rRNA from 1 species